GUUUGCAGUGGCUAAGUAUACUUUAAUAGAGUUCUUUAUAGUCAAAUGUCAGGAAUUUGGGGGUUUCUAGCUUGCUCCAUGGAACAGAGUUUGUUGUGGAUCUAUGAUCACACAGGACCAGGAUCUAGAGAUCAUGGUUGGGGGGUGGGGGAGGCGGGGGCAGGAAGGGUGUGCCAGAAAUUAAUACUGUGUCCGGUUCAGGACAAACCUAAGGAACGGUGUGUGGUCCUGGCAGGAGGGUGACCGAGGUGGUGGGACUGGCAAGUGGGAUGUGCUUGUGAGGCUGAGGACUUGGUUGUGAUCAUCAGCCUUAGGGCACUGAGACCCCAGAAGCCUGAGCAAGGUCUGCAGUCAGCCCUGCCCCCGCCUUCAGUCAGGCUGGAUGGAGGCCAGGGAGCCUGGGUUCCUCCCAGCCUUGCCCCUCCCUCCCUCCUGCUGAACUCUUCCUACCCGGGCUCUGAACACAUCCCUGAGCUGCAGAGCUGACGUCUGGGUGACAGUGAAACGGGGUAUUCAUUUGUACCAAAACAAACAAACAAACAAACAAAACCUGGAAUGACGGGACAAGAUCUCCUGAGUUGUCGAAGACUCACUCCGGAAGAAAACCCUCUCAGGCAGUUACUGAGGGACUGUGGUCUGGACUAGAACGUGUUUUUCUCAGUGACACCUCUAGAGGGCAGCACUCAACGGAGUCCCACAGACACCUCCCUGCAUUUCCUCCUCAGACACUGGGUGGAUGAUAUGAUAUGUAGGCUACCCGAGGGCAGAGACUGAGUCUGUCUUGUUCACUGUCUACCUCCAGAACCUCACACAGAAUCUGGCACUUAGUAGGUGCACAACAAAAUAAUCAUUGAAUUAGUAUACUGAGUCUUUAACAGGUGAGUACGCAGUUCCACUUUACAUUCACUUUCUAAUAUUAUGCCUUUUUAUCCUCUUAUUGUAUAAAUUUCUAACAUGUAUAAAAAUAACACAAAAGUAUAAUGACCUUUCUUGUAUUCCUCAUAUAGAAUCAAUAAUUACCAAUAUUAGGGAAAAGAGUGAAACGCUGUAAAAUAUUUGAAGAGAUUUAUUCUGAGCCAAAUGUGAGUGACCAAUGGCCUGUGAUACAGCCCUCAGGAGAUUCUGGGAACGUGUGCUUAAGGUGGUUGGGAUAUAGUUUAAUUUUAGGGAGACAUGAGACAUCAAUCAAAUAUAUAGAGAUGUACAUUUGUUCAGUCCAGAAAGGCAGGACAACUGGAAGUGUGGACUUCCAGAUUUUGUGUAGAUUAUAAAAUUUUCCAAUUGGCAGUUGAUUGAAAGAGUUAUGAUCUAAAGACCUGGGUGCAGGGAAAAGAAAGAGAGAUCAGACUGUUACUGUGUCUAUGUAGAAAGGGAAGACAUAAGAGACUCCAUUUUGAAAAAGACCUGUACUUUAAACAAUUGCUUGCUGAGAUGUUGUUAAUUUGUAGCUUUGCCCCAGACACUUUGACCCAACCUGGAGCUCACAAAAACAUGUGUUGUAUGAAAUCAAGGUUUAAGGGAUCCAGGGCUGUGCAGGAUGUGCCUUGUUAACAAAAUGUUUACAAGCAGUAUAGUUGGUAAAAGUCAUCGCCAUUCUCUAGUCUCAAUAAACCAGAGGCACAAUGUACUGUGGAAAGCCGCAGGGACCUCUGCCCUUGAAAGCGGGGUAUUGUCCAAGGUUUCUCCCCACGUGAUAGUCUGAAAUAUGGCCUCGUGGGAUGAGAAAGACCUGACCGUCCCCCAGCCCGACACCCGUAAAGGGUCUGUGCUGAGGUGGAUCAGUAAAAGAGGAAAGCCUCUUGCAGUUGAGAUAGAGGAAGGCCACUGUCUCCUGCCUGCCCCUGGGAACUGAAUGUCUCCGUAUAAAACCCGAUUGUACAUUUGUUCAAUUCUGAGAUAGGAGAAAAACCGCCCUAUGGUGGGAGGCAAGACAUGUUUGCAGUAAUGCUGCUUUGUUAUUCUUUACUCCACUGAGAUGUUUGGGUGGAGAGAAACAUAAAUCUGGCUUACGUGCACGUCCAGUCAUAGUACCUUCCCUUGAACUUAAUUAUGACAUAGAUUCUUUUGCUCACAUGUUUUUUGCUGACCUUCUCCUUAUUAUCACCCUGCUCUCCUGCUACAUUCCUUUUUUGCUGAAAUAAUGAAAAUAAUAAUCAAUAAAAACUGAGGGAACUCAGAGGCCGGUGCCGGUGCAGGUCCUUGGUGUGCUGAGUGCCGGUCCCCUGGGCCCACUGUCGUUUCUCUAUACUUUGU
rnacentral:lncRNA from 10 species